GACUUUAUGAUUAUCCUAACCCUUUGGCAAAAUCCAAAAGUCAUUUCUCUUAGUAAUAAUUAAGAAAAAUAAAAGAUUUUUAAUUUUCUUUAAAAUUCUUACUCAUAAGAUUUAAUUGAAUUAAACACUUAAAUAGUUUUUAUUUAGUUUUUAUGCUAUUUUUUAGUAUUUUUCAUCAUUAUUUUCAUUUAUUUUUUAUUCUUUAAAUAAACCUUCAUUUAG
rnacentral:lncRNA from 1 species